CUGGAGCCGGAGCACACCAAGUCCAGGAUCACUGACUUUGAAUUCAAGGAGCUGGUAGUGCUGCCCCGGGAGAUCGACCUCAACGAGUGGCUGGCCAGCAACAGUGCGUGCGGGUGGGGAGGCGGGUACAGCAGCUGCAGGGCAGGGAGCCUCCCCCAUCUCCAAGUACCCCCAGAGCAGUAGUCAAUGGACAGGCUGAACUCAGGUAAACCCACUGCCUGUCACACCAACUGGAGCAGAGGAGUUUACUCACCAGGCCCUUUGCUUCUCUUCCAGCAACAACAUUUUUUCACCACAUCAACCUGCAGUAUAGCACAAUCUCAGAAUUUUGCACAGGAGAGACGUGUCAGACAAUGGCUGUGUGCAACAC
rnacentral:lncRNA from 1 species